rnacentral:rRNA from 1 species
GAUGAACGCUGGCGGCGUGCCUAAUACAUGCAAGUCGAGCGAACAGACUAGGAGCUUGCUCCUCUGACGUUAUCGGCGGACGGGUGAGUAACACGUGGAUAACCUACCUAUAAGACUGGGAUAACUUCGGGAAACCGGAGCUAAUACCGGAUAAUAUAUUGAACCGCUUGGUUCAAUAGUUAUAAACGGUUUUUCUGUAACUUAUAGAUGGAUCCGCGCCGAAUUAGCUAGUUUUUAAGGUAACGGCUUACGAAGGUAACGAUGCGUAUCCGACCUGGUAGGGUGAUCGGCCACACUGGAUCUGAGAAACGGUCCAGACUCCUACGGGAGGCAGCAGUAGGGUAUCUUCUGCAAUAGGCGAAAGCCGGACGGAGCAACGCCGCGUGAGUGAUGAAGGUCUACGGAUCGUAUAACUCUGUUAUUAGGGAAGAACAAAUGUGUAAGUAACAAUGCACGUCUUGACGGUACCUAAUCAGAAAGCCACGGCUAACUACGUG